UACGAAGGGGGCAAGCGUUGUUCGGAAUUACUGGGCGUAAAGAGCGCGUAGGCGGAUCAGACAGUCAGAGGUGAAAUCCCGGGGCUCAACCCCGGAACUGCCUUUGAUACUUCUGGUCUAGAGUUCGUGAGGGGAUGGUGGAAUACCCAGUGUAGAGGUGAAAUUCGUAGAUAUUGGGUGGAACACCGGUGGCGAAGGCG
rnacentral:rRNA from 1 species